rnacentral:rRNA from 1 species
AAUUUUGUAACAUGGGCGCAAGCCUAAUCCAGCCAUGCCGCGUGCGUGAAGAAGGACUUCGGGUUGUCCAGCUCUUUCGGACGGAAAGAAAUCGCCCCGGCUAAUACCCUGCGCGGCCGACGGUUCCGUCCUAACAAUCACCGGCUAACUACGUGCCAGCAGCCGCGGUAAUACGUAGGGUGCGAGCGUUAAUCGGAAUUACUGGGCGUAAAGCGUGCGCAGGCGGUUGAUUAAGACAGGCGUGAAAUCCCCGGGCUUAACCUGGGAACUGCGCUUGUGACUGGUCAGCUAGAGUACGGCAGAGGGGGGUGGAAUUCCACGUGUAGCAGUGAAAUGCGUAGAGAUGUGGAGGAACACCGAUGGCGAAGGCAGCCCCCUGGGCCGAUACUGACGCUCAUGCACGAAAGCGUGGGUAGCAAACAGG